rnacentral:rRNA from 1 species
GUGGGGAAUCUUGCGCAAUGGGCGAAAGCCUGACGCAGCCAUGCCGCGUGAAUGAUGAAGGUCUUAGGAUUGUAAAAUUCUUUCACCGGGGACGAUAAUGACGGUACCCGGAGAAGAAGCUCCGGCUAACUUCGUGCCAGCAGCCGCGGUAAUACGAAGGGGGCUAGCGUUGCUCGGAAUUACUGGGCGUAAAGGGCGCGUAGGCGGACAGCUUAGUCAGAGGUGAAAGCCCAGGGCUCAACCUUGGAAUUGCCUUUGAUACUGGCUGUCUUGAGUUUGGGAGAGGUGAGUGGAACUCCGAGUGUAGAGGUGAAAUUCGUAGAUAUUCGGAAGAACACCAGUGGCGAAGGCGACUCACUGGCCCAAUACUGACGCUAAGGCGCGAAAGCGUGGGGAGCAAACAGGAUUAGAAACCCGGGUAGUCC